UACGUAGGUGGCAAGCGUUGUCCGGAUUUAUUGGGUUUAAAGGGUGCGUAGGCGGUCUUAUAAGUCAGUGCUGAAAUAUCCCGGCUUAGCCGGGAGGGUGGCAUUGAUGCUGUAGGACUUGAGUAAAGUUGAGGUUGGCGGAAUUGACGGUGUAGCGGUGAAAUGCUUAGAUAUCGUCAAGAACACCUAGAGCGAAGGCAGCUAACUAAACUUUAACUGACGCUGAGGCACGAAAGUGUGGGGAUCAAACAGG
rnacentral:rRNA from 1 species